AACACGCAAUGCAUCCUGGGAAGUAGAGGAACCGCGGGCCAAACUAUUUCAAAGCAGAUGAGUUGUGCUUAUCUACCGCAAACUGAUUGGAAUCUGAACAUUCUCCUGAACUGACUUGACCAACGGACUGAGUUGCAUGAAAUCCAGGAGGGUGCGUGUCUUGCCAGAACACCGGCUCCAAUUUAAGAGCAAGCUGCAACCAACAGUCUAUCCACAGUGCGAAGACACUUCGAAGGAAGACCAUACAGAUGCUCCAAUUGUGCAUGCAAAGAUGAACACGGCUCUGAGGCAGCACAUCAAAGCGUGCGUUAAAAUAGCUACAACGUCAGAAGGGCUUCUUUCCAAACCUGCACCUCUUUUGAGAGCAGAAGUUUGCGGCGAGGCGGUGAUGGUGAUGCUGAAUGAAGCUACACGGCCUCAACCUUCACAGUGGAAGAAGCGCUCACAGUGACUCGAGGUACCUUUUCUAUAGUCAAAGCCUUCCCAAUACAGCGAUGCAUAGUCAUGAGGGCCACAGUGAGGAGAGUAAGGCAUAAGGAGAGCCCAUUCUUACUUCUUCAAAAAAGGUAAACAAACUCAAUACCAAGUAGAUUUGUGAGAAGCGCUGUGUGCGCUCUCUACCUAAAAAGAGUGUAAACAUUUUUAAAUGGCUCUUUUUUUUCUCCUCUCCUUAAGUUUGCAACACGUAGAAAUCCUAAACCGUCAACAAACAAGACACUGGUCUAUGUAUAAAAAACAGAGAACAAAAUUGCUACCUUUUGUUUUUUUACCUUUGACUACUGUUGGCAAAAGUAUUCACUGUCCACAAUAUUAGGUACACCUACACAAUCUAAUGUAAUCAUCUAAUAAAAGAUCACAGGUAAAUCACACAUUUGUCACUUUUGGUUGAUACUUAUUCAUUUAAUAAAAUCAGUUUAUUGUUGUGGCUGUAGUUAGCAUUGACUUGGAACUGUGAUGCAUCUUACUGAGAGAGAUUUCUAGUAUUUUGUCUGUUACGUUGCAUAACAAGGUGACUUAUUUAGGGCUGGGCGAUAUGCAAAAAAAAUUAUCACGAUUAAUUUUUUCAUAUCAUCUGAUAUCGAUUAAUAUCACAAUUUGUUUUGCAUUAAAGUGGAUUGUCCCGUACAGGGAGUACCACAUCCCUACUGUUUACUACUACAUUAUCUUGUAACAAACAUUUCCGGCAUGUUUGAUUGAGGUAGUAUAUGCUAACAGCUGACAACUGUCGUUUUGUUAAUAUCUAUGAUUGUGUUUACCAGAGGUGCAAUAGUACAAGUAACCCAUGCUACAGUCUGUACCUGGUUUUAGGGCCACGGUGUUGCUUGUUUUUUAGUACGUUUUGUGGGGGUAAAGAGAAUAACUUUUUUGCCUCUCAAAGUUAUUUAGUUUCUUUGCUUGUCAUCACAAACAUUCUGCAAUAAACAAAGUAUAAUUGGUGUAGUGAAUACUGCAAGACUUUUACUUCAAAUGAAAUUUGAGGUACUGUAAAAUAAUGUAUAGCAACA